CCCUAUCUUGUCACUCUUCCUAAUGGCUAUAAAGUAAAAGUAACAUGCACAGGUUCUUUUGCACUGACUUCUUCCAUCACUCUUCACAAUGUACUGCUGGUUCCUUCUUUUAAACACAACUUGAUUUCUGUCCACAAGUUAGUGAAGCAGUUGCAUUGUAUAGUUUUGUUCACUGAACAUUCAACUUGAUUUCUGUCCACAAGUUAGUGAAGCAGUUGCAUUGUAUAGUUCUGUUCACUGAACAUUCAUGCUUACUCCACAUGAUACAGGACCCUUCUCUGAGGAGGCCUCUGGAUCUUGGUAGAGAAGCUGCUAGCUUAUAUAAACUGGCUUGGGUUCCUCCUUCUCCUUCUUCC
rnacentral:lncRNA from 1 species